rnacentral:lncRNA from 1 species
CAAUUUUGUAAAAGAAAAUAAAAUACGUAUUAAAAUAAUUGGUAAUUUGUCAUAUGUUAACGAAAAUUAUAGGAAAAUUAUAUAUAAUAUAGAAGAAAGAACAAAGGGCUUUGACAACUUAACUUUGAACAUAUUUUUUUCGUACACUAGUAAAAAUGAAAUGAGCUUGUGCGAAUUUAAUCCCAACUUAUAUUAUGACACAUGCAAGGAAUUGUUACAAGAACGUAACAUUAAUUAUUCUUCAUCUCCUAUAGAAAAAAACCAAAACGACAACGAGUCUUCAAAAAAAAAUAAUAAUAAAUGAAAAAAAAAAAUUUAAGAACAAUAUUCAAAUGAAAUGCUAUUGUGGCAAAUACUUUUAUUUAGAUGACCCUGAGAAAUUAAAAAUAAUUAAUUACCAUGACAAGUUACUUACUUCCAAGCUACCCCCGCCUAACAUUCUCAUACGAACGUCUGGCGAACAUAGAUUAUCGGAUUUUAUGUUAUAUCAAAUUUCAGAGUUUACCGAAAUUUAUUUUAUCAAUGAAUACUGGCCAUUUUUUAACUUUUUACAGUUUAUAUAUGUUAUUUUACACUAUACAAUUUUCCAAACAACUAAUUUUCUCUUUUCUUACUCUAACCCCUGUCAACAUUAGCUUUUAUUUAUUUUUUUUUUUUUGUUAAAUAUGCUACAUAAAAAAAAAUAUAUAUAUAUAUAUAUAUAUAUAUAUAUUUAUAUAUGCAUAUAUUUAAAAACAGUUUUUACAAGAUAACAUAUUCGAAUGAAACCUUUUUGGUUAAUCAUGUUUUUAUUAUUAAAAAAAAAAAUUUUAAAAUACGCAUUAAAAAAAUAAAAUGGAACAAAAAAGUACA